UCGGGUCAGAAGAGACCACCAGAGAAAAACCUAUGGCAUCCAGAUUAUUCCACCAGUGUGAAAUGUUCUUUUUUUUUUUUUUUUUUGAGACGGAGUUUCGCUCUUGUUACCCAGGCUGGAGUGCAAUGGCGCGAUCUCGGCUCACUGCAACCUCCGCCUCCUGGGUUUGCAUUAUUUCACUUAGGAUAAUGACCUCUAUCUAGCUCCAUCCAUGUUGUUGCAAAUAACAUGAUCUCAUUAUUUGUCAAAGGAUAUAAUCUCAUUAUUUUUUGGCUGUGUAGUAUGCCAUAUGUAUAUGUACCACAUUUUCUUCAUCUUGUCUACCACUGAUGGGCACUCAGGUUGAUUUCACAUCUUUGCUAUUGUGAAUACUGCUGCAACGCAGCUAUGAGUGCACGUCCUUAUGGCAGAAUGAUUUAUACUCCUUUGGUUAUAUAUCUGAUGAAGAGUUUGCUUAGUCAAAUGGCAGUUCAGUUUUAAGUUCUUUGAGAAACUGCAAAACCACUUUCCAUCGUUGCUAAAUUAAUUUACAUUCCCACCAACAGUGUGUACGCAUUCCCUUUUCUCUGCAGCCUCACCAGCAUGUUAUUUUUUGACUUGUUAGUAACAGCCAUUCUGACUGGUGUGAGAUGAUAUCUCAUUGUGGUUUUGCUUUGCACUUCUCUGAUGAUUGGUGAGGCUAUUUUUUCGCAUGCUUGUUGACCAAGUGUAUGUCUUCAUUUGAAAAGUGCGUGUUCAUGUUCUUUGUCUUCAUUUUAAUGAGGUUGGUUUUUUGCUUGUUAAUUUAUUUACAUUCCUUAUAGAUUCUGGAUGUUAGACCUUUGUUGGAUGCAGGAUUUCUGAAUGUUUUCUCCCAUGCCAUACAGGGUCUGUUUACUCUGUUGAUAGUUUAUUUUACUGUACAGAAGCCAUUAUUUUAAUUAAGUUCCACUUGUCAAUUUUUGUUUUUGUUGAAAUUGCUUCUUCAUCAUCAUGAAAUAUUUCCAGGGCCUGUGUUCAGAAUAGUACUUCCUAGGUUUUCUUCUAGGGGUUUUGUAGUGCUACGUUUAGAAUUUAAAUCUGUAAGCGAUCUUGAGUUGAUUUUUGUAUGUGGUGAAUGGAAGGAGUUCAGUUUCAAUCUUCUGCAUGUGGGUAGCCAGUUAUCUGAGCACCACUUAUUGAAUAGGGAUUCCUUUCCCCAAUACUUGUUUUUGUCAACUUUAUUAGAGAAUAGAUGGUUGUAGGUGUGCACCUUUAUUUCUGGACUCUGUAUUCUGUUCCAUUGGUCAAUGAGUCUGUUUUCGUACCAGUAUCCUACUGUUUUGGUUACUCCAGUCUUGUAGCAUAGUUUGAGGUUGCAUAAUGUGAUGCCUCCAGCUUCUUUCUUUUGCUUAGGAUUGCUUUUGCUAUUUGGG
rnacentral:lncRNA from 1 species